UUGUUAGAAGAUCGGAAGGAUUCGGGCAAUGAGCCUAUUUACGAAAGACGCUCUGCUUAGUUGUGAGACGUAGCGAGAAUAAGGAGAACAUCGAUGGGGAUGAGUGGGCUUGGCAGUGAGGCUUUCAUCCUUUGGAAUUUGGGUGAUGGCUCAUUUACUACAGUUUUAUCUUAGUUGUAACUUGUAAUAAUAUUGGCAUGAUCGUGCUUUUGAUUAUGCAUAGCAUUGCACUGUUGUAUUUACUGUUGUGUGAAACUUGCAGCUGCUCUGAUGUGAUGUGAUAAUAACAGGGCUAAACCCGAGAUAAUUUGUGUUCCCAAGUGGGAAGGAUGAUAAGUACUUUUCUUGUAGCAGCUUUGGAUGUAUAUUUAAUGAACAUUUGGUUCAAAUUCUUACACAUCAUAAAUAUCUU
rnacentral:sRNA from 1 species